rnacentral:rRNA from 1 species
UUUUAUGGAGAGUUUGAUCCUGGCUCAGGAUGAACGCUGGCGGCGUGCCUAAUACAUGCAAGUCGAGCGAACGGACGAGAAGCUUGCUUCUCUGAUGUUAGCGGCGGACGGGUGAGUAACACGUGGAUAACCUACCUAUAAGACUGGGAUAACUUCGGGAAACCGGAGCUAAUACCGGAUAAUAUUUUGAACCGCAUGGUUCAAAAGUGAAAGACGGUCUUGCUGUCACUUAUAGAUGGAUCCGCGCUGCAUUAGCUAGUUGGUAAGGUA